GAAAUGCGAUAAGUAGUGUGAAUUGCAGAAUUCAGUGAAUCAUCGAAUCUUUGAACGCACAUUGCGCCCCUUGGUAUUCCAUGGGGCAUGCCUGUUCGAGCGUCAUUUGUACCCUCAAGCUCUGCUUGGUGUUGGGUGUUUGUCCCGUCUCCGCGCGUGGACUCGCCCCAAAGUGAUUGGCAGCCGGCGUACUGGUCCCGGAGCGCAGCACAUGUCGCGCAAACGAGUGCCUUGGUACGGCGGCGUCCAUAAGCCCCUCUCUCACGCUCUUGACCUCGGAUCAGGUAGGGAUACCCGCUGAACUUAAGA
rnacentral:misc_RNA from 1 species